rnacentral:rRNA from 1 species
GAUGAACGCUGGCGGCGUGCCUAAUACAUGCAAGUCGAGCGAACAGACGAGGAGCUUGCUCCUCUGAUGUUAGCGGCGGACGGGUGAGUAACACGUGGAUAACCUACCUAUAAGACUGGGAUAACUUCGGGAAACCGGAGCUAAUACCGGAUAGCAUGUUGAACCGCAUGGUUCAACAGUGAAAGACGGUCUUGCUGUCACUUAUAGAUGGAUCCGCGCCGCAUUAGCUAGUUGGUAAGGUAACGGCUUACCAAGGCAACGAUGCGUAGCCGACCUGAGAGGGUGAUCGGCCACACUGGAACUGAGACACGGUCCAGACUCCUACGGGAGGCAGCAGUAGGGAAUCUUCCGCAAUGGGCGAAAGCCUGACGGAGCAACGCCGCGUGAGUGAAGAAGGUCUUCGGAUCGUAAAACUCUGUUAUUAGGGAAGAACAAAUGUGUAAGUAACUAUGCACGUCUUGACGGUACCUAAUCAGAAAGCCACGGCUAACUACGUG